CCCAAAUCAAUGGCGGCCUCCCUUGUUCCUGAGGCUGUUUUAAGUUUUGGGGGGAAGCCGAAGCUAACGUUUAUCUUUCAAAUUACAUGCUCAAGGAAGAAAGAGACUCAAAAUUGUUUCACAAAGGGUUUUAAUCGAUACUGGAACAGCACAAGGAUUUGAUGCCGAAGCGAAGAAAAUCAAGCAGAAGGGAAACACCAAAGGCGGCGGAGGUAGUGGCCGUGCUUUCAUCGGCGUGAAAAAUACGCCCUUAAAGAAACCGACGCAUACAGAUAAGGGGGAGAACAAGGACGAUCCGGUGGAAGAGAGUCCUUUGAGAUCUAUUUUUUGCUUGAAAAAGAUCGUCGAUAUGCAGCGCGUUGAGGAGACUGGAGAUUGCUUUAUUCUUGUUUUUAACCCUGUUAAUCCCGUUGACGUUGCCAAGCUCUACGCCGCCAACGACGGCGAUGUUGAUGAAGAACACUCCGUGGUCGCCGAACGUGGUGGCCUGCAGAGAUUAUCCACAUUCAAGGCAUCUUUGUCUGCAAUUUCCAUUCGAUACUACGCCUCAUGACAGACUGUGAUCUGUGUUACUGUUAUGUUUGCGAUUCGGCUGCUCCGUGCGAGUGUUGGACGACACAUUGCCAUGUGGCGGAAUGGCGAUCUCAAAGGCUUGUGAAGAUUCGGAAGGUUCAGCCUUAAGAGGUUUUUUUUUUGUCAA